rnacentral:rRNA from 1 species
GAGCACGUAGGUGGGUUUGUAAGUCAGAUGUGAAAGCCUUCUGUUCAAAGGAAGAACGGCAUCUGAAACUGCAGAUCUUGAGUGUAGGAGGGGAGAGUGGAGCUUCUGGUGGAGCGGUGAAAUGCGUAGAUAUCAGAAGGAACGUCGGCGGCGAAAGCGACUCUCUGGCCUAUUACUGACACUGAGUGUGCGAAAGUUGGGGGAGCAAACGGGAUUAGAUACCCCGGUAGUCCUAACUGUAAACGAUGGGCACUAAGUAGAGGGGUUUU